rnacentral:lncRNA from 1 species
GCGCGAACCAUACGUGUCAUGCCAUGCUUAAACAAAAUUUAUUCCACAUGCAACGGGACGGAGUACUUCAGUAGAACUCUAAUCCCAACUCUAAAAUCUCGAUUAUUUCAACACUUAUGUCUCAACUAACCUCAACUCUAUCAUCUCAAACCUCUCAUUCCAACAGGACUGGCGCCCAGAGAGCAAAGCUCGACCAGGGACCUUACCUCCAAUCCGGUCACUUAACUCUCAGCCUUAGCCUUUUGGCUCUCUUAUCCAAUAAGACUGGCGCCCCGAGAGCAAAGCUCGACCAGGGACCUUACCUCCAGUCUGGUCACUUAAGUAUCCAAAUAAGAAAUCUAAUAGCCAUUCGACUCUCUUAAUCCAAUAAGACUGGCGCCCCGAGAGCAAAGCUCGACCAGGGACCUUACCUCCAGUCUGGUCACUUAAAUAUCCAAAUAAGAAAUCUAAUAGCCAUUCGACUCUCUUAAUCCAAUAAGACUGGCGCCCCGAGAGCAAAGCUCGACCAGGGACCUUACCUCCAGUCUGGUCACUUAAAUAUCCAAAUAAGCCGGCGCCCCGAGAGCAAUGCUCGACCAGGGACCUUUACUCCGGCAACCACACUCUACUAAGCCCAGAGAGCGAUGCUCGACCAGGGCAGGUCCUAAUCUUUCUUUCUCAAAAUCUUUACCUCUUUACCCUUUUCUUAUCUCUCUCAUAUUAUAUUGGACACUCAUCCAACUCCUAUGUUCUACUGCCGUCCCAUCCUGAGUCAUCAUGCAAUAUUAAAAUUGGUAAUAAAGGAAAAACAUAUUUAAAUAGUAAUUAAAAGCAUCAUUCAAAUGAUAAUAAUAAUAAUUGAAUGAAAAAUUGAAAUUGCAAAUAAAUAUUCUCAGUAGCAAAUCAAAUUUUAUGCAUGACACGUGCGUAAACGAUAUAUGACUUUAACUCAC